AGAACAGGGAAAGGCCCAGGAUAACAUUGACAGUCAGAAAGAGGAAGAGGAAGAAGAACAGGGAAAGGCCCAGGAAAACAGUGAGGACAGUCCGAAAGAUGAGUGAGAAGAAGAACAGGGAAAGGCCCAGGAUAACAUUGACGAGAGUCAGAAAGAGGAGGGAGAAGAAGAACAGGGAAAGGCCCAGGAUAACAUUGACGAGAGUCAGAAAGAGGAAGAAGAAGAAGACCAGGGAAAGGCCCAGGAAAACCAUCGCGAACAAGGCAUUAUCACAGUCCCUGGUCGACUAGCGAUUACGGGACCAAAAAAAAAGAUGUAUAAAAUUAGUCCUGAAGAAAUACAACGUCGGAUAAGGUGAAAAAAUAUCCGCCCAUGUCUUCCGGAGCCUUAUUGGGGGAAGAAGGGCAAACCUGCCUCCAAUUGUGCUGCAGCAGCCACCCCAAAAGAAAACCAAAACAAGUAUUUUCAGCUGUCUGAGUGAGGGAGAGGCCGUGGACUUGGCAGACGGUUUUGCAGGGAGUCUGGCCCACAACGUGCAUUCAUCUGACAUCUGUCAGGGUGUCACGAAAGACAUGGCAGACAAAACAAAAUGUUGGAGAACAACCAAAUGUAUGAUGCAGACUCCGCAUUCAGUUUGGAAACACAUUAAUUUGGAUCACUUCCGCUGGGGUACGUUCUUUCACACCUAAGUGACAAAUUGAACCAAUUAAAGUUUUAGCGGCCCACUCCUGCCUAUUGCUGGGCCUGCAGCGCUCAAUUAAAGACACUGACAGCGCUGUGCAGGUGGAAAAACUCCAACAACAUCCGGAUGGUGCUGCAGUACCCAGCUGUGUGCCAUUACUUCCAAAGGCACU